UCAGCGGCAGCUAAUGUGGCAAACGUCAUGCCCAUGCAAUCAGGUACCAAGAAGAUUGAUCCCAACAUGAAAGGAGGUCAGACCAGCGAGGGCGUGCUAGCUAACUUCUUCAACAGUCUGUUGACUAAGAAAGCAGGCUCACCCGGCCCGGGCGGCCAACCCACAGGAGGAGGGAGCAACACGCCAGGAACAGUCCGCAAGUCAGAUCUUUGACAUCAGCGACGGUAAAAUAAAUAUAUUUGAUAAUCUCAUCUGCAUGUUCAGCUAAAAACCCCACUAAUCAUUGAAGCUAACAUGCUGUCACCAUCCUUGUUCUUCUCAGUGCAUCAGAUUACUGAGUUAUAACCCAGUAAUCUAACACAAAACUCAACAGAGCAAAUUAGCUUACACAACCUCCUUAACGGAAUGAAAAUUGUCUUCACUUACUUGCCCUCAUGUUGUUCCAAACCUGUAUGACUGACUUUCUUCUAUGGAACUAAGGCUGUGACGGUAUGGGAUUUUUCUUACCGCGGUGAAGACGCAACAAAUCACCGCGGUUUGGCGGUUAAUCGUAACCCCCUCCCCCUCCCUCAGCCGCCGCGGAAAUAUGACUUAAGAA